rnacentral:tRNA from 1 species
UGAUAAUUAGUUUAAGCCAAAAAUAGUGAUUUCGACUCACUAGAUUAUGUAUUAGCAUAAUUAUCAAC